CUUUUUCAUUGUAAAGCUAUACUGUUCAACUGCUUCCUCAGUCACUUUUCUCAGGAUACUGUUUUUGUGUAAAAAUGAGGCAGAUGCCUACUAGACCAAAAUUAUAACAAGAGAGUUAGCAUUUGCAAGAGAUUCCUCGCGUGGGUCUAAAUCAAUCAUCCCCAGAAAGUGCACUACAUGGAUCUCACAAGUCCCAAAUACUUUCAAGCUCCUCCUAUUUUUGCUUCUACUGGGGAACCAGCAUUGGAGACCAAUACAAGCCUGUAUGGGAAAAGUAAGGACAACCCAUUUGCAGACACCUUUCAAGACCCACUUUGCAAGCUCAAUCUCAAGGAGACAUCCGAGUUUGUCAAGUCAUUUCCAAUGCCACGUAACAGUACAGAAUGCAGAGGGUUUCUUGAAGUUCCAGCUCAAAGGAGAAGAGAAGAAGUGAACUUGGUGACUCAGAGGAGAAUAGAAGCUCCUUCUACACCUGGUAGGCCAAUAUUCAGCUACAGUAUUGGUAAUCUUGCAAAAAAGAGCUUUCCCUCUAAGUGGGAGGAUGCAGAGAAGUGGCUGAUAAGCAGUUCUUGCCAUGAAUCUCCUGCUCAUGCCUUUCAGCCAUCGCCAGAGUCUUUAAAGAUUCAGAAACAGAAUGAUAAUUUUAGGCAGCAAAUGGAGGUAUUUGCAGAGAAAUCAAGGGUUGCAGAGGAAAAAGUCUCAAAGCUUGUUUCUAGCUUUCAGGGGUCGGUAGCUUUGGACCAACACAAACUAGGAAUAUCCUUUAAUGGGGUUACUGUUUCUCCAGAUGUGUUUCUAAAAGACAAGUUCACUGAUGAGGUAGAAUCAGUUUUGCCAAAUUUUAGAUACUCAGUGCCAUCAAAAGAAGGAUUUCUUUUUAGAAACGCAGCCAGUGAAGCGAUGAAAGAUGUUGGUACUGAAGUAUUUCAUGAGGUGGAACACAGAGAUACUGGUACAGAAAUGACUCCUCUAGGCAGUUCCACAACUUCAAGAUGCCACACACCAAUCAAAAACUCAUCGCCUGCUCGCCACAACACGCCUGCCAAUAAGUCAGGUCCUUUGCCUUCGGGGAAUUCUAGCGGCACCAACAGUAGCAUUAACAUCUCCCAGUUACAAGCUUGCCAUUUGGCUAAGCUACAACAUGGGUCACAAUAUGAUUCUGUUACAACAAAUUGGAGCUCAAGGGAAGAAGAGGAAGAGGAAAUAUCAAAGAGCCUGAGACAUUUUGAAACAGGCAUCACUGGCAGGAGAAGUGUUUCAGAUUCAAGAGCUGCUCCAUGGGAGGAAGAGGAAAAGACAAAGUGCUGUCUUAGGUAUCAAAGAGAGGAAGCAAAAAUUCAAGCUUGGUUGAACCUCCAAACUGCAAAAGCGGAAGCUCAAUCAAGAAAGCUUGAGGUGAAAAUACAAAAGAUGAGAUCGAACUCAGAAGAGAAGUUGAUGAAGAGAAUGGCAGUUGUUCACAGAAAAGCUGAAGAAUGGAAAACUGCAGCUCGCCAGCAACACACUGAGCAGAUUCAAAGAGCUAGAGAACAAACAAAGAAGAUGACGAAACGACACUUUCCUAUCCACACUUCUUGUGGUUGCUUCCCUUGCAACACCCGUCCUUGAUCUAGAAAUAAAAGACAGAUGUAUCUCCUGCUUUUUCUAAGCAAAACCCAAAU
rnacentral:misc_RNA from 1 species